rnacentral:rRNA from 1 species
GACGAACGCUGGCGGCGCGCCUAACACAUGCAAGUCGAACGAGAGAGAAGGAGCUUGCUUCUUCGAUCGAGUGGCGAACGGGUGAGCAACGCGUGAGGAACCUGCCUCAAAGAGGGGGACAACAGUUGGAAACGACUGCUAAUACCGCAUAAGCCCACGGGUCGGCAUCGACCUGAGGGAAAAGGAGUGAUCCGCUUUGAGAUGGCCUCGCGUCCGAUUAGCUAGUUGGUGAGGUAAUGGCCCACCAAGGCGACGAUCGGUAGCCGGACUGAGAGGUUGAACGGCCACAUUGGGACUGAGACACGGCCCAGACUCCUACGGGAGGCAGCAGUGGGGAAUAUUGCACAAUGGGGGAAACCCUGAUGCAGCGACGCCGCGUGGAGGAAGAAGGUCUUCGGAUUGUAAACUCCUGUUGUUGAGGAAGAUAAUGACGGUACUCAACAAGGAAGUGACGGCUAACUACGUGCCAGCAGCCGCGGUAAAACGUAGGUCACAAGCGUUGUCCGGAAUUACUGGGUGUAAAGGGAGCGCAGGCGGGAAGACAAGUUGGAAGUGAAAUCUAUGGGCUCAACCCAUAAACUGCUUUCAAAACUGUUUUUCUUGAGUAGUGCAGAGGUAGGCGGAAUUCCCGGUGUAGCGGUGGAAUGCGUAGAUAUCGGGAGGAACACCAGUGGCGAAGGCGGCCUGCUGGGCACCAACUGACGCUGAGGCUCGAAAGUGUGGGUAGCAAACAGGAUUAGAUACCCUGGUAGUCCACACCGUAAACGAUGAUUACUAGGUGUUGGAGGAUUGACCCCUUCAGUGCCGCAGUUAACACAAUAGUAAUCCACCUGGGGAGUACGACCGCAAGGUUGAAACUCAAAGGAAUUGACGGGGGCCCGCACAAGCAGUGGAGUAUGUGGUUUAAUUCGACGCAACGCGAAGAACCUUACCAAGUCUUGACAUCCCUUGACGAACAUAGAAAUAUGUUUUCUCUUCGGAGCAAGGAGACAGGUGGUGCAUGGUUGUCGUCAGCUCGUGUCGUGAGAUGUUGGGUUAAGUCCCGCAACGAGCGCAACCCUUAUGGUCAGUUACUACGCAAGAGGACUCUGGCCAGACUGCCGUUGACAAAACGGAGGAAGGUGGGGAGGACGUCAAAUCAUCAUGCCCUUUAUGACUUGGGCUACACACGUACUACAAUGGCGUUAAACAAAGAGAAGCAAGACCGCGAGGUGGAGCAAAACUCAGAAACAACGUCCCAGUUCGGACUGCAGGCUGCAACUCGCCUGCACGAAGUCGGAAUUGCUAGUAAUCGUGGAUCAGCAUGCCACGGUGAAUACGUUCCCGGGCCUUGCACA